CCUACGGGAGGCAGCAGUGAGGAAUAUUGGUCAAUGGACGAGAGUCUGAACCAGCCAAGUAGCGUGAAGGAUGACUGCCCUAUGGGUUGUAAACUUCUUUUAUAUGGGAAUAAAACAGGGUAUGCAUACCCUCUUGUAUGUACCAUAUGAAUAAGGAUCGGCUAACUCCGUGCCAGCAGCCGCGGUAAUACGGAGGAGCCGAGCGUUAUCCGGAUUUAUUGGGUUUAAAGGGAGCGUAGGUGGAUUGUUAAGUCAGUUGUGAAAGUUUGCGGCUCAACCGUAGAAUUGCAGUUGAAACUGGCAGUCUUGAGUGCAGUAGAGGUGAGCGGAAUUCGUGGUGUAGCGGUGAAAUGCUUAGAUAUCACGAAGAACUCCGAUUGCGAAGGCAGCUCACUGGACUGCAACUGACACUGAGGCUCGAAAGUGUGGGGAUCAAACAGGAUUAGAUACCCGUGUAGUC
rnacentral:rRNA from 1 species